AACGAACGCUGGCGGCAUGCCUAACACAUGCAAGUCGAACGAGAUCUUCGGGUCUAGUGGCGCACGGGUGCGUAACGCGUGGGAAUCUGCCCUUUGGUUCGGAAUAACAGUUGGAAACGCCUGCUAAUACCGGAUGAUGACGAAAGUCCAAAGAUUUAUCGCCAGAGGAUGAGCCCGCGUAGGAUUAGCUAGUUGGUGUGGUAAAGGCGCACCAAGGCGACGAUCCUUAGCUGGUCUGAGAGGAUGAUCAGCCACACUGGGACUGAGACACGGCCCAGUCUCCUACGGGAGGCAGCAGUGGGGAAUAUUGGACAAUGGGCGAAAGCCUGAUCCAGCAAUGCCGCGUGAGUGAUGAAGGCCUUAGGGUUGUAAAGCUCUUUUACCCGGGAUGAUAAUGACAGUACCGGGAGAAUAAGCUCCGGCUAACUCCGUGCCAGCAGCCGCCGUAA
rnacentral:rRNA from 1 species